GCCGACUUAGCUCAGCGGUAGAGCAGCUGUUUUGUAAACAGCAGGCCGUCGGUUCGAAUCCGACAGUCGGCU
rnacentral:tRNA from 1 species